rnacentral:lncRNA from 1 species
UGUAUUGUAGCACAUAAUGAUGGACCAUCGCUGAGCUCUGCAGGUCUGAGAGAGGAAACUUUACUCAACUGCCGGCAGAAAAUUUAGGAUUCUUUCCGAUGAAGUUAUGAGGCAUUGGUUACUGUAAACAUAUGUUAAAACUGUGAGCUGGGAAGUUCAUCAACUUUGAUCAAUGGCAGCUUGAUUGACUGUGCAGUUAAGGGACUUGAAGAGGGGAAAAAAAACGUCAGAUUAUAAAAUUUCUGGAUUCCUCAGGCAUAAAUUCUCAUGAAAUUGAAUGCAAGAAACUGUCUGGUCAUGCUGGAGGACUGAAGGUAACUUCAACAAUUUGUUUCUCGAAUUCACCCCACCUUCCUUCUGCUGAGGAAAACAGUGACCUGCCUUCCAAAGAGUGUCAAAAUAAAGAGCUGGGAAACUUUCCCAAGGACGUUGUGUUCUCCCAGGUGACGGUGUCUGAGCUAAGAGUAAUUCUGUGCCUCCAUUGCACACCAGUGGGUGCCUAUGGAAUCGUGAAAAUUAAAAGCAGAUGA